CGCUCCUGCUGUAGCUUGCCCAUCUCCCGCUCCCACAAUCCGGCGUGAUGGCUGCCGCCGUUCCUGGCGCCGUUUCGCUCUCCCCACUGCUGUCCGUUCUCCUUGGCCUGCUGCUCCUCUCUGCUCCUCAUGGCGCCAGCGGCCUGCACACGAAGGGCGCCCUUCCCUUGGACACAGUCACUUUCUACAAGCCCGGGUACUCGCUACAUCUUUUUUACAAAAAAGCUACCAAGAC
rnacentral:lncRNA from 1 species